CCCGUUUCACCUCUCAAGUACAUACUACCACCUCCACUCUCCACUAUAGCAAGUCAGGAGUUGCUGUUACCGGUCUUCCUCCUGGUGGACCCACAACUGAAAUUGAUUGGUCUCUUAAUCAGGCUAGAUCGAUCAGGUAACCUUGAAAUUGCGUGAUGGAAUUCCACUGAUUACGCGGCUGUCUUUAGGUUUCACACGUGUGAAAUUAUGGUAUACAUUAAUGUUGUGCGCAAGACCGGUUGUAUAUGUAGAUACAUGGGUGUACAAUAAACAUGUAGCACAACGAGAGUAAUGAAGAGUUAUCAACAAAUAUAACAUUUAUAGA